UGGCUCAGUGGUAGAGCGCUUGCCUGGGAUGCAGGAGGCCCUGGGUUCUUGAGCUGAAGAGCUGAGGGGCAUUGCCCAG
rnacentral:tRNA from 1 species